GUGCUCACUUUGGCAGCACAUAUACUAAAAUUGUAAGGAAACAGAUUAGCACAGCCCCUGCACAAGGAUGACACACAAAUUUCUGAAGUGUUCCAUAUUUUU
rnacentral:snRNA from 1 species